rnacentral:rRNA from 1 species
UUGACCUCGAAUCAGGUAGGAAUACCCGCUGAACUUAAGCAUAUCAAUAAGCGGAGGAAAAGAAACCAACAGGGAUUGCCCCAGUAACGGCGAGUGAAGCGGCAACAGCUCAAAUUUGAAAUCUGGCUCUCGGGCCCGAGUUGUAAUUUGUAGAGGAUGCUUUUGGUGAGGUGCCUUCCGAGUUCCCUGGAACGGGACGCCAUAGAGGGUGAGAGCCCCGUCUGGUUGGACGCCGAACCUCUGUAAAGCUCCUUCGACGAGUCGAGUAGUUUGGGAAUGCUGCUCUAAAUGGGAGGUAUAUGUCUUCUAAAGCUAAAUACCGGCCAGAGACCGAUAGCGCACAAGUAGAGUGAUCGAAAGAUGAAAAGAACUUUGAAAAGAGAGUUAAACAGUACGUGAAAUUGUUGAAAGGGAAGCGCUUGUGACCAGACUUGGGCUUGGUUGAUCAUCCGGGGUUCUCCCCGGUGCACUCUUCCGGCCCAGGCCAGCAUCAGUUCGCCCUGGGGGACAAAGGCUUCGGGAACGUGGCUCUCUCCGGGGAGUGUUAUAGCCCGUUGCGUAAUACCCUGUGGCGGACUGAGGUUCGCGCAUUCGCAAGGAUGCUGGCGUAAUGGUCAUCAGUGACCCGUCUUGAAACACGGACCAAGGAGUCGUCUUCGUAUGCGAGUGUUCGGGUGUCAAACCCCUACGCGAAAUGAAAGUGAACGCAGGUGAGAGCUUCGGCGCAUCAUCGACCGAUCCUGAUGUUAUCGGAUGGAUUUGAGUAAGAGCAUACGGGGCCGGACCCGAAAGAAGGUGAACUAUGCCUGUGUAGGGUGAAGCCAGAGGAAACUCUGGUGGAGGCUCGCAGCGGUUCUGACGUGCAAAUCGAUCGUCAAACAUGGGCAUGGGGGCGAAAGACUAAUCGAACCUUCUAGUAGCUGGUUUCCGCCGAAGUUUCCCUCAGG